rnacentral:rRNA from 1 species
GCCCUGCAUGAAGUCGGAAUUGCUAGUAAUCGCGGAUCAGCAUGCCGCGGUGAAUACGUUCCCGGGCCUUGUACACACCGCCCGUCACACCAUGGGAGCCGGUAAUACCCGAAGUCAGUAGUCUAACCGCAAGGAGGACGCUGCCGAAGGUGGGAUUAGCGACUGGGGUGAAGUCGUAACAAGGUACC